rnacentral:rRNA from 1 species
AAUCAACGCUGGCGGCGUGCCUCAGACAUGCAAGUCGAACGAUUAAGACUCUCUUCGGAGAGUGUAUAAAGUGGCGCACGGGUGAGUAACACGUAGGUAAUGUACCGAAGGGUGGGGAAUAACUUAGGGAAACUUAAGCUAAUACCGCAUAAUGCAGCGGCUCGACAUUGAGACAGUUGUUAAAGGAGCAAUCCGCCUUUUGAGCAGCCUGCGGCAGAUUAGCUAGUUGGUAAGGUAAUGGCUUACCAAGGCUACGAUCUGUAACCGACCUGAGAGGGUGGUCGGUCACACUGACACUGAAUAACGGGUCAGACUCCUACGGGAGGCAGCAGUCGGGAAUUUUGGGCAAUGGGCGAAAGCCUGACCCAGCAACGCCGCGUGAAGGAUGAAGUAUUUCGGUAUGUAAACUUCGUAAGAAUAGGAAGAAUAAAUGACGGUACUAUUUGUAAGGUCCGGCUAACUACGUGCCAGCAGCCGCGGUAAU